rnacentral:rRNA from 1 species
AGGACGAACGCUGGCGGCGUGCUUAACACAUGCAAGUCGAGCGGAAAGGCCCUUCGGGGUACUCGAGCGGCGAACGGGUGAGUAACACGUGAGCAAUCUGCCCUUAGCUUCGGGAGUAGCUCCGGGAAACCGGAAAUUAAUACCGGAUAUGACUAUGGCUGACAUCAGCCACGGUGGAAAGUUUUUCGGCUAGGGAUGAGCUCGCGGCCUAUCCAGCUAGUUGGUGGGUAACGCCUACCAAGGCGACG